AUGGCUAUGGUGGCCUCUGCCUCGGCUAGAGGCGGGAUGGGAGGCGGGCCUCCCCAGCAGCACGAGGACAGCGACGACCGUGUGGGGAUCAGCCUCAGCAAGGACUUGCCUGAGGCCGCUGUCCGGGCCCUCAACGCAGCCACGGCCGCGGCGGCCUCGGCCUCGGCCGGCGGCGGGACAGGCCGGUGCGUUGGAGCCCGCGCCCUGUGCGUUGAUCUGGGUGACCGGACUUUUGAUCGAUCGUCGACAAGGGAAGUUUUCUAUAGGUUCUGUAAUCCAGAGCUUAUAAAAGGCGCGUCGCCGAUACGGCGAUACGCACGAUACGGCCGCGAUACUCAGGGAAAUACUCAAAUCACCAUCUAA
rnacentral:rRNA from 1 species